UACGUAGGGUGCAAGCGUUGUCCGGAAUUAUUGGGCGUAAAGAGCUCGUAGGCGGUCUGUCGCGUCUGCUGUGAAAACUCGGGGCUUAACCCCGGGCCUGCAGUGGGUACGGGCAGACUAGAGUGCGGCAGGGGAGACUGGAAUUCCUGGUGUAGCGGUGAAAUGCGCAGAUAUCAGGAGGAACACCGGUGGCGAAGGCGGGUCUCUGGGCCGUAACUGACGCUGAGGAGCGAAGGCCAGGGGAGCAAACGGG
rnacentral:rRNA from 1 species